rnacentral:rRNA from 1 species
GUGAGUAACCUGCCCUUGACUCUGGGAUAAGCGCUGGAAACGGCGUCUAAUACCGGAUACGACCUGCCCCGGCAUCGGGUGCGGGUGGAAAGUUUUUCGGUCAAGGAUGGACUCGCGGCCUAUCAGGUAGUUGGUGAGGUAAUGGCUCACCAAGCCGACGACGGGUAGCCGGCCUGAGAGGGUGACCGGCCACACUGGGACUGAGACACGGCCCAGACUCCUACGGGAGGCAGCAGUGGGGAAUAUUGCACAAUGGGCGAAAGCCUGAUGCAGCAACGCCGCGUGGGGGAUGACGGCCUUCGGGUUGUAAACCUCUUUUAGUAGGGAAGAAGGGCUUCGGCUUGACGGUACCUGCAGAAAAAGCACCGGCUAACUACGUGCCAGCAGCCGCGGUAAUACGUAGGGUGCAAGCGUUGUCC